AUGUCGGAGCAGCCAGAGGGCAAAGGAAUUUUUAAUCAUCUUUUUAAUGCUGCAGCCCGUGCAAGACAGGAGCUGGCAGCGAGAAAUGAUGAUUCAACCUUACUUUCCACAACAAGACGACUAUUUCGCCAGCGAGUUCAUCGAGUUCGAGGAGGAUCUGGUGGCCGCAGGGAAAACUCUAUUUGGCAAGCAAAACUUUUCCUCCUUCCAGGACCAGAUAAUGGUUUUCUGCCCCCCACAACAGAACUUGAGGAACUGGCUAAACAUGGAUUAGGUAAACGUGAGAUUGAAGCAGAUAAGAAUUGUGUUAUUUACUUUUACACCUUAUUAUCUAACCUUCUUGCAAAGAAAGCUAUGGAAUGAGCUGCUUUGGAUUUUAUGUUAGCUUGAGCCUGUAUGAUCCGAUUUGUUAUACUGUCUCUAUAUUGGGAAACAUUUGAACAGUUUACUCUUUGAUGCAUUUCCAUGAGUUUCCAUGUAGCCAUUUUAAUAGUUACACCUAUGCAACACUUUCUCAUGCCAAGGCAUCACUUUGAAAGUGUCCAGGAAUACCUCCCAAUGAAUCCUUUUGCAUCAGCUAUCUGAAGUUAGUCAAUGGUGGUUAUGGUUAGUGUGAGGAUCUGGGUGGUGCAUUCAGAUGCUAAGCUACACCAUAUAUUGUAUGUUAAUGUUCUUUCACAUAUGGUCAAAUGUGUGAUGGCCUUGUGAGUGAGACCAGGCUCUUUCUUCUGUCAUAUGCAAUUUUCUUAGGAGUGUAGGGUUCGUUUAGUUUCAAAGCUGUAAACUUAGUAGAAACACAAAUGAUCUUAGGUUAACUGUGGUAGUCACACAGGUCUACUUUUGGGGUUUGGCAACACUGCGAUUAUGUCUGAAAAUAUGAGUCCUGAAAGAUCUUGUAGCAACUAAUGAAUGUUACUUUGCCACUAGGAACCGAUUAUACUGAUGUUUACAUUUCCAUUUUUAGGAAAACCUGUGCACGAGUCAACGGAGACCGGACGCACAAACUCAAAGAUUGGGUUAAACUGGAGUUUAGGUUUUUUUUUUUUUUCUAAUAUGUAUUAAGAUGUAUCUAUUUAUUCUGUGUGAUGUCUGAGCAUUUACAUUCCCUAGGAUAAGUUUUUGUAAUUUUUCUACCUAUGAAUAUUUUCUAAUGAUGUAUUUUGUUUCCACUAUGAGUGUGUGUUCUUUUGCUGAAGGUGAAAUCAUUUGGAUUUUCUGUGUACUACCAGGUGGCAUCCACAUCCUCUGCCAUAUCCAUGGAUUCAUUCCCACCACUCUCAAUUGCUCCGGUACAAGAUGAGGCCGCGCCUGUGGCUGAGAGUACCCAAGCUCAAAGUGUGGUUGCAAAUCAGGUAACCAAUAUUGACACUGUAUAGAAUAAAUAGUAUUUAGUCAUUUUAUCUGCGUGUACU
ensembl:lncRNA